GCCCUUAGAUUCGGGAUAAGCUCGGGAAACUGAGUCUAAAACCGAAUAGGAAAUUGGUGCUGGAAAGCUCUUUUUCUGAAACGUAAGGUCUAAGGAUGAGUCGGCGGCUGAUUAGGCUGUUGGUGAGGUAAAGGCUCACCAAACCGAUUAUCAGUAGGGGAGAUGAGAGUCUUAGCCCCAAGAAGGACACUGAGAUACUGGUCCUAGUCCUAAGGGAUGCAGCAGUCACGGAACCUUUACAAUGCGCGAAAGCGUGAUAGGGGGAUCCCAAGUGCUUUACCAAUGGUAAAGCUUUUGUUAAAUGUAAGAAGUUUGGCGAAUAAGGAGUGGGCAAGACCGGUGCCAGCCGCCGCGGUAAUACCGGCGCUCCGAGUGGUAAUCAUGUUUAUUGGGCCUAAAGCGUUCGUAGCCGGCUUAGUAAAUUUCUCGUGAAAUUGUUCAGCUCAACUGAACAGCGUGCAGGAAACACUACUGAGCUUGAAACCGGGAGGAGACAGAGGUAUUCCAGGGGGAGCGGUAAAAUGUUAUAAUCCUUGGAGGACCACCAGUGGCGAAGGCUUCUGUCUAGAACGGCUUUGACGGUGAGGAACGAAAGCUAGGGGAGCAAAACGGAUUAGAUACCCGAGUAGUCCUAGCAGUAAACUCUGCGAGCUAGGUAGUGUGUAUUCUUAGAGAAUAUGCAGCGCCUAAGUGAAGAUGUUAAGCUCGCCGCCUGGGAAGUAUAGUCGCAAGGCCGAAACUUAAAGGAAUUGGCGGGGGCUCACUACAAGGAGUGGGGUGUGCGGUUUAAUCUAACUAUACGCAGAGAAUCUCACCAGCAGCGACGGCAGGAUGAAGGUCAGAUUAAAGGUUUUACCUGACGAGCCGAGAGGUGAUGCAUGGCCGCCGUCAGUUCGUGCCGUGAGGUGUUCGGUUAAGUCCGACAACGAACAAGACCCAUACUUACAUUUGCUAGCAUGUCUUUCGAGAUGAAUGAGCACAAUGUGAGGACUGCCUUGGAAACAAGGAGGAAGGUGUGGGCAACGGUAGGUCUGUAUGUCCCGAAUCUGCUGGGCUACACGCGCGCAACAAUGGUAAGGACAAUGGGAUACAACUCCGAAAGGAGAAGUCAAGCCUCCAAACCUUACCCUAGUUCAGAUUGAGGACUGUAACUUGUUCUCAUGACGAUGGAAUUCCUAGUAAUCGGGUUUCAACAUGACCCGGUGAACACGUCCCUGAGCCUUGCACACACUGCCCGUCAAGCCAACCGAGCAGGGCUUGGAUGAGGAUUAAUUUUUUAAUUAGUUCAAAUCUAAGUUCAGUGAGGUGGGUUAAGUCGGCACAAGGUA
rnacentral:rRNA from 1 species